rfam:Aedes aegypti strain Liverpool supercont1.515 genomic scaffold, whole genome shotgun sequence.
UGCCCAGCAACUCCUAUCCCUACCUCCUCGUGGUACUGGCCGGGGCUCGAGUAACCUUAGGGAAGAUCGGGCAACCAACCCCCGGUGGGAACUUUGGUCGUGUGCUAACAGCGAAGG